UACGAAGGUGGCAAGCGUUGUUCGGAUUUACUGGGCGUACAGGGAGCGUAGGCGGUUGGAUAAGCCCCUCCGUGAAAAUCUCCAGGCUUAACCUGGAAAGUGCAGAGGGGGACUGUUCAGCUAGAGGAUGGAAGAGGGUCGCGGAAUUCCCAGUGUAGAGGUGAAAUUCGUAGAUAUUGGGAAGAACACCGGUGGCGAAGGCGGGCGACCUG
rnacentral:rRNA from 1 species